UUUAAAAUAAGAGGAAACGUGGCUGCAUUUGGAUGACAUGUAAUGGGGGACACGUGUCCCAUUGUGAGUGGAGAGGAUGGAGAUAUUUUUAAUUUUUUUUCAAUUUUUAAAAAGCUAAAAGCUAAAAUGUUACAAUUUAAAAUAAAAUCGAAAACACUAAAAUAAAAUCGAAAUAAAACAUAUAAAAGUAUACUUAAUUCCAA
rnacentral:lncRNA from 1 species